rnacentral:rRNA from 1 species
AUGGAGGUCCAGAUGGAGUUGGACCAGUUCCGUCGCUUCGUCGACAAGAAGAUGGUGCUCGGCGCCUCCGAGAUCGACCACCUCCGCGCCGUCGCAUUCGCCGCGUGCGGUACCUCGCCCGCAUCUGCUCCAGGCUCCGCGUCUACCAAUAGGCAUGCCUCCGCCUCGGCAUCUGGCUCGCUGACAGGGAUGAAGGCGAGGAGCAGGAUCAUGAGGAUGAUGAUUACUGCCCGGAGUUCCGAUGCUAAAACGGGGAGUACUAUGAGACGGGCAGGAGGGAAGCGAGGAGGAUUUCGUGGGUGA